rnacentral:tRNA from 1 species
UCCGGGAUCGUCUAAUGGUAGGACUUCAGGUUCUGGACCUGAAUAUCUUGGUUCGAAUCCAAGUCCCGGAACCA